UUUGAUUUUUGAACAAAAACAUUUGUACACAAUGGCGUAAUAAGGUGUUAUUUUGGGCUACCUCAAAACUUCAUGGACUGAAGCAAAUCCCUGUCGACAAUUCUAAUUGCAGAACCAAUCCAGCUAGGGCAGAAAUUUUCCGCUGAGCUGGCAUGGAAGAAAAAAAAUGUUUUAACCAAAUGUCAGAUAACCCAAGACAAUACGAGCUGCCCCAUUUCUCCCCACGUUUCACCAAAACCAAUUUCCCACUAAAUGGUCCUGCCGAUUGGAGAGAAACACACCCAUCAAGAUUACGCCGUCAACUUGGUUUUCAUCUCCAGCAAAUUUCGCCCAAUUGAACCGUGAAUAAGUACAAGGUUUUCAGCUAUAUAACUAUUACUCUUGCAUAAACCCUAACUUCCUACCCAUUUUGCCAUCGUAGUCGUGACUAUCUCCGGUCGGCGUCGUUCAAUGGUUCCACUGAGAGGCCAACAUCUUCAGACAUUAUCUCCGACCCAUUUUGCGAGUAAAGUUUAUUAUUUGUUUCAGAUCCUCUGCACAUUUCUUGGGAAGGUAUGUUUUUUUGGCUUUUUAUAUAAUCUUCGUGUUCUUGAAAACCUGUUGAUCUGCAGCUUAUGGCAUGGUAUGCGAUGGAUUUUUUUGUUCCGAUUUAAACUUUCAUUAUUUUGAUAUGUACAGAAAAAUAGAGGCAUUUAUAGCUUGUAGAAAUUGGUCUUAUCGAGUUUAGAUGAUAAAUUAUUUUCAUAAUCUAUUUGUUUAGAAGUAUUAAAUCACUGUAUUUGGCUAGAGAAAGUGAAAUGAGAGCACAUUUAAAUUGUGAUUCGUAUGAUCUGUUUUUCUGGUGAUGAUAGUAUUCCAUUUCAAUUUUGAUGAUUUUCGGUUAUACCUGUAAGUGCAAGUAGAAGUCGUUGCUGGAAUGUUCUUUGAAUUCUACAUUGGAAUGUUCUUUGAAUUUUGAUGAUUUUGAUGGAAUUGGUCCUAUCGAAUUUUAGAAGUCGUUGCUGGAAUGUUCAUUGCUAGAAUGAUUUUCAUAAUCAAUUUUGAUGAUUUUGAUGCUCUGUUGCUGGAAUGUUCUUUGAAUUCUACGUUGGAUGGUAGAAUUUAUUUGUUGGAUUCCUAUGGUAGUAUAGAAUGUUGCUUAAGUUUUAAUCGAGCUAUUUUUUCGGGAUCUCUAUUUCAUUUUAGUUUGUAAUGAAAUCCUCUAAAUAUUGUUUGCCACAUAGGGAUGAGAGGGAGGAAUUAUGGUGUUUGUCACAGUUGUUGAAACAUAAAUUGCCAAGCAUGUUCGAACAUCUAGCUCAAAUGGCUGAAAAACGAAACGUCGAGAUUUCAUUGAACGUGACAUUCCACAAAGGAAAAGAGCCCUCAAACGAUAAUGGAGAAGAAAAGGGGCCAGCAUGAUUAUUAGUUAUAUUUAUUCUCGCACCCAGAAUAGUUUUGUGUUUGGGUUUGUAAUACCGAGAGACGACAAAAAAAAUCAAAGAACCCAACAAUUUUCAUUUUUGAAGAAUGCCAUGAAGGCACUCUUUUUUAUAUGUAUGGUAUCAUGAGUAAAAUGUUUGUGUUGCAUUAUUUUUUGGGUAUUAUUUUUAUAUGUAUGGUAUCACGAGAAAAAUGCAAUAACUCCAGCAAGCACUGUCAGCAAUAACUCGGCAUUAAGAUGGAUUAGAAUACACAUAUGGAACUCAAUUUUUAAGCAAGAAUAGAAAUGUCGAUUUUUAUCUACAGGAAAGGACAUUGCCAAUACACACCCUCAUUUCUUCUUAGCAUGAAAAGUUGAAAACUUGGUUACUUAUAAAAUAUGUGCAAGGAAUUUUUUUGAUCUGCCUAAAUUAUUCUAUGCAUCUCUCGGCGACACCUUAGCAGUCUAUCUCACAUUUUUCUAUCCAACGAAAUGCAUAUCAUGUAGAG
rnacentral:lncRNA from 1 species